rnacentral:rRNA from 1 species
CAGGCCUAACACAUGCAAGUCGAACGGCAGCACAGUGGUAGCAAUACCAUGGGUGGCGAGUGGCGGACGGGUGAGGAAUACAUCGGAAUCUACCUUUUCGUGGGGGAUAACGUAGGGAAACUUACGCUAAUACCGCAUACGACCUUAGGGUGAAAGCGGAGGACCUUCGGGCUUCGCGCGGAUAGAUGAGCCGAUGUCGGAUUAGCUAGUUGGCGGGGUAAAGGCCCACCAAGGCGACGAUCCGUAGCUGGUCUGAGAGGAUGAUCAGCCACACUGGAACUGAGACACGGUCCAGACUCCUACGGGAGGCAGCAGUGGGGAAUAUUGGACAAUGGGCGCAAGCCUGAUCCAGCCAUGCCGCGUGGGUGAAGAAGGCCUUCGGGUUGUAAAGCCCUUUUGUUGGGGAAGAAAAGCAGCCGGUUAAUACCCGAUUGUUCUGACGGUACCCAAAGAAUAAGCACCGGCUAACUUCGUGCCAGCAGCCGCGGUAAU